GGUGAAAUUCCAAUCGAACCUGGAGAUAGCUGGUUCUCCCCGAAAUAGCUUUAGGGCUAGCCUCAAGGUAAGAGUCUUGGAGGUAGAGCACUGAUUGGACUAGGGGUCCUCAUCGGAUUACCGAAUUCAGUCAAACUCCGAAUGCCAAUGACUUAUCCUUAGGAGUCAGACUGCGAGUGAUAAGAUCCGUAGUCGAAAGGGAAACAGCCCAGACCGCCAGCUAAGGUCCCAAAGUAUACGUUAAGUGGAAAAGGAUGUGGAGUUGCUUAGACAACUAGGAUGUUGGCUCAGAAGCAGCCAC
rnacentral:rRNA from 1 species